rnacentral:lncRNA from 1 species
UUGGUCAGCGUGAAUUGUAUAGCUAAAACCAUAUGCUAAACCUGUUAUGCAUAUAGGUAUGACAUUACAUAUAACUAUAAGUGACCAUGUGAUUAUGUAAAUGAUGCUUUGAAUAACACCUUUCCUCGUUGAUUCAAUUCUAUGAAGAGUACUUUUCACGUUUAUAGGUCUAGGUCUUACAUCACACGUUCGUUGACUAUUUAACUACAAUCAUGUACACUAAUUAUCAAGUACAAGUACAUCAGUUCUAGGGAUCUACUCUGCAUUUACAGAUCAUUUGCAUGCAUUUCACCUUUUUAACUUACCGUUAACUUUGUUUUACCUUUAACAUCAAACAAAAUAUUUAUCAAUUUCAUCUUGCAUUUAUGAUAAGAAUUCUACAACAAAAAGAAUAUUAUUGUACUUUACUUCUUUAUAUAGAUAAUUUUCAUGUAAUUCAAUAACAGUUGAUAUUUUAGACAGAAACACUGUGAAUUCACUAUUUUAAGAAUAUCUAAAGUUUAAAAAAAUGGAAAGAAUAAUGACGUAGAAGUAUAGAACUAAAUAUUCCCUUAAAUUUCAAAGGGUUGACACAGUUAUUGAAACUAUAGAGAUUUAGGUCGAGAAGGGGGAAAUGAUAAAAAAAAUCCAAGUGAUAAAAUAUAUUAAUAAUUUAUGAUAUUAUAAUGCAUAAUGUUGUGUUACAAAAGACAUUAAGGCAAAACACUAACACAUAUCUAUAAUAAUAAUUGACUCCUAAUCCUUGUUAAACAUAGAAACAAAUAAAAAAGUAGAAUGAAAUGUCGAAACCACUCGUAAGAGAUUAUCUUAGAUGCUCUAAAAAAUUCUAGGGCACCAUAAUGAUAUCAUGAAAUAUUUUAACACUCUUCUCAAAUUAAAGCUCACAAAGCUUUAAACUUUCUACAAUUAAACACACCGGCAGGUGUCUGAGACUGGAGAAGGGGAUAGAGCAUUGGGGACAGGAGACAAGGCCAGAUUGCAAGAAACAGAUGCCAGACUGCAACUAGGCAUAGAGACAGGCCAAACAACCUCGGCGACAUAGAUGGGGCCAGGGCAUCUGGGAUUGGAGACGGCAGGGCCAGACAGAAUGAUCAUCCACAGGACGAAAAUUUACAACUGGUGUGAUUGUAAGUGGGCUACAGAACUGAUUGUCAGCCAGAAAGGAAGUAAACUUGUUGUCAAAAUCUGUUUCUGUCUUAUAUCCUUCAAUUAUAGGGAUUCAGUUGUAUAUGAGUUAUGAGUACUAAUAGAGAUUUAGUUAUAUAUGAGUACUAAUAGAAUUUAGUUGUUUAGUAAUCUAGUAUAUAUA